rnacentral:rRNA from 1 species
AUACGUAGGGUGCAAGCGUUAAUCGGAAUUACUGGGCGUAAAGCGUGCGCAGGCGGUUUUGUAAGACAGUGGUGAAAUCCCCGGGCUCAACCUGGGAACUGCCAUUGUGACUGCAAGGCUGGAGUGCGGCAGAGGGGGAUGGAAUUCCGCGUGUAGCAGUGAAAUGCGUAGAUAUGCGGAGGAACACCGAUGGCGAAGGCAAUCCCCUGGGCCUGCACUGACGCUCAUGCACGAAAGCGUGGGGAGCAAACAGGAUUAGAUACCCUGGUAGUCCACGCCCUAAACGAUGUCAACCGGUUGUUGGGGAUUUAUUUUCUCAGUAACGAAGCUAACGCGUGAAGUUGACCGCCUGGGGAGUACGGCCGCAAGGUUAAAACUCAAAUGAAUUGACGGGU